UAUCAACGUUAAAAUUAACCGCAGACAGUAGGGAGUUAUACUUUAAAAAUCCUACCGAGGUAAGUAUCGAUUUUUUAAUAUCGAAUUUCUUAAUCUCAUCAGGUCUGCGAUGAGAUUUUUUUAUAUUCAG
rfam:Peptoniphilus sp. oral taxon 386 str. F0131 genomic scaffold supercont1.1, whole genome shotgun sequence.